rnacentral:rRNA from 1 species
CCAAUAGCGUAUAUUAAAGUUGUUGCAGUUAAAAAGCUCGUAGUUGAAUUUCGGGGUCAGUAGGUUGGUCGUGCCACUGGUAUGUACUGGUCUCACUGAUUCCUCCUUCCUGAUGAACCGUAAUGCCAUUAAUUUGGUGUUGCGGGGAAUCUGGACUGUUACUUUGAAAAAAUUAGAGUGUUUAAAGCAGGCUAACGCUUGAAUACAUUAGCAUGGAAUAAUGGAAUAGGACGUUCGAUCCUAUUUUGUUGGUUUCUAGGAUUGACGUAAUGAUUAAUAGGGAUAGUUGGGGGCAUUAGUAUUCAAUUGUCAGAGGUGAAAUUCUUGGAUUUAUUGAAGACUAACUACUGCGAAAGCAUUUGCCAAGGAUGUUUUCAUUAAUCAAGAACGAAAGUUAGGGGAUCGAAGACGAUCAGAUACCGUCGUAGUCUUAACCAUAAACUAUGCCGACUAGGGAUCGGAUGAUGUUAAUUUUUUAAUGACUCAUUCGGCGCCUUACG